AUGGCCUGGGCCCCUCUGCUCCUCACGCUGCUCACUUACUGCAUUGGUUUCAGUUCCCAGCAACUCCAGUCACUGAAGGCAUCCGAGUUCGUGUCUCCUGGAGGGACCGUGACCCUCUCCUGCAGCCUGAGCAGUGGGGCCAUCGCUGAUGGCAACUACCCGUUCUGGAUUCAACAGAGACUGGGGAAUGUUCCUCGGCUGAUCAUGCACACUACGAGUACCAGGCCCUCGGGGAUCCCAGAGCGUUUCACUGGCUCCAGAUCGGGUAACACCAUGUCCUUGACCAUCAAGGGGGCCCUGGCGGAGGAUGAUGCUGAUUAUUACUGUUGGCAAAGCUUGCUGGGCACGUCGGUGUCGCUGCUCCUGGCUCAGAAGCUGGGAGGGCAUCAGACACUUGGCUACAUGAACAGGAGAAACAUAUUUCCUCACCCGUGUAAGGCCAGCUCCAGCCAACCCCCAGAGCAGUCCCUGUGA